GGGCCCGCACAAGCGGUGGAGUAUGUGGUUUAAUUCGAUGCAACGCGAAGAACCUUACCAGGGUUUGACAUCCUGCGAAUCUCUUGGAAACAGGAGAGUGCCUUCGGGAACGCAGUGACAGGUGUUGCAUGGCCGUCGUCAGCUCGUGUCGUGAGAUGUUGGGUUAAGUCCCGCAACGAGCGCAACCCUUUCCCCUAAUUGCCAGCACGUUAAGGUGGGAAUCUUAGGGGUACUGCCGGUGAUAAGCCGGAGGAAGGAAAGGAUGACGUCAGGUCCUCAUGGCCCUUAUAGGCUGGGCUACACAUGUGCUACAAUGGUGAUUACAAAGAGCAGCAAAGGGGCAACCUGGAGCGAAUCUCAAAAAGUGCGUCGUAGUCCGGAUUAGAGUCUGCAACUCGACUCCAUGAAGUCGGAAUCGCUAGUAAUCG
rnacentral:rRNA from 1 species